rnacentral:rRNA from 1 species
CCUACGGGAGGCAGCAGUGGGGAAUUUUGGACAAUGGGCGAAAGCCUGAUCCAGCCAUUCCGCGUGAGUGAAGAAGGCCUUCGGGUUGUAAAGCUCUUUCGCAAGGGAAGAAAACUUAGAUACUAAUAUUAUCUGAGGUUGACGGUACCUUGAUAAGAAGCACCGGCUAACUACGUGCCAGCAGCCGCGGUAAUACGUAGGGUGCGAGCGUUAAUCGGAAUUACUGGGCGUAAAGCGUGCGCAGGCGGUUUUUGUAAGUCAGAUGUGAAAUCCCCGAGCUCAACUUGGGAACUGCGUUUGAAACUACAAGACUAGAAUAUGUCAGAGGGGGGUAGAAUUCCACGUGUAGCAGUGAAAUGCGUAGAGAUGUGGAGGAAUACCAAUGGCGAAGGCAGCCCCCUGGGAUAAUAUUGACGCUCAUGCACGAAAGCGUGGGGAGCAAACAGGAUUAGAUACCCUGGUAGUCCACGCCCUAAACGAUGUCUACUAGUUGUUGGUGGAGUAAAAUCCAUGAGUAACCGCAGCUAACGCGUGAAGUAGACCGCCUGGGGGAGGUACGGUCGCGAGAGUAAACGUACUAAUAGAGUAGACGNGNGAGAGAGCGACGGACGACGACGAGGGAGGAGG